rnacentral:rRNA from 1 species
CAGCCGCCGCGGUAAUACGAAGGGGGUUAGCGUUGCUCGGAAUGACUGGGCGUAAAGGGCGCGUAGGCGGAUUGUUUAGUUAGGCGUGAAAUUCCUGGGCUUAACCUGGGGACUGCGCUUAAUACAGGCAGUCUAGAGUGAGGAAGAGGGUUGUGGAAUUCCCAGUGUAGAGGUGAAAUUCGUAGAUAUUGGGAAGAACACCGGUGGCGAAGGCGGCAACCUGGUCCUUGACUGACGCUGAGGCGCGAAAGCGUGGGGAGCAAACAGGAUUAGAUACCCCCGUAGUCCCUGUCUCUUAUAA